GUUCCCUUGUACUAACUUCCCCUGGUUAACCCACUGUGUGUUUCUCAGUCCAGAGUGGACCCUACAUGAUGCACAUUUGCCGUCUUCCUUCGUCAACCAACCAAUCAUCCCCUUCACUGCACCCGAGGAUACAACAAGUGCUCCAUCUGAUAGCUCUACUGCUGCCCCUGAUGCCACCACUGCAGCUCCUGCCAGCACUGCAGCUCCUGACACCACUGCAGCUCCUGCCAGCACUGCAGCUCCUCCGGCCUCCACG
rnacentral:lncRNA from 1 species